UAGUGAUUUCAGCUCUUUUUGUAUUUGUCUAGUAGGCUUUUGGCUUUAGUGAAAAGCCCAA
rnacentral:snRNA from 1 species